UACUAUUUAAGGAGAAAUCAUUUGAUCAUUAUAUAGAUUUAUUUUGAGACUGCAACACGAAACCGCACAUAAGGAUCAAUACCGCAAUGAAGAUCUUGUUCUUCUUAACGAUUCUGGUUUUGGGCAUGCUCCUCAUCUUUGAAGCAAACCUGGUCGAAGGGCGAUGUAGAGGCGUGAGGAGGGCGUUGUGCCACGCGAGAUGCGCACAACAGGGGUUUGCCUGUAUCUGGCCGGAUGGAAGGUGCCAGUGCGAGACUUUUUAAGGACAACCAAAAAAAUCUUCAGGUUGUGCCGAAAUCAAAAUUAAAAAUUUCAAUAUAAAUUAUGCAAUUUUUUGUGGAAUUGGUUUAAAUAAAAUCCGGGAAGAAUGUCCAUGCUACUGCAAUUUA